rnacentral:tRNA from 1 species
AGAAAAAUAAGCUAAUUAAAGCUAAUGGGUUCAUACCUCAUCUAUGGAAAUAUUAUUCCUUUUUCUA